rnacentral:rRNA from 1 species
UUCUUAUACCCUUAAUUAUAAGUAAAAUCUGCUCAAUGAUAUUUAAAUAGCCGCAGAAUUUUAACUGUGCUAAGGUAGCAUAAUCAUUUACCUCUUAAUUGGAGGUUUGUAUGAAAGAUUUUACAUUUAAAUUAUUUUUUUAUUAAAUUAAAUUCAAAUUUUAUUAAAAAUAAAAAUAUUUUUAUAAAUAAAAAAGACGACAAGACCCUAUUGAACUUUACUUAAGUUAAGCUGGGGAAGCUAAUUAAAUACUAUUUUAAUAAUCUUAUUAAGAUAAAUUUCUGGAAACCCAAUUUUGAAUAAGUUACCAUAGGGAUAACAGCGUAAUAAUUUUUAAAAGUUCUUAUUUAAAAAAAAGUUUACGACCUCGAUGUUGAAUUAAGUUUACUUUAAAACGCAAUAGUAUUAAAAGUAGGUCUGUUCGACCUUUAAAUUUUUACAU